rnacentral:rRNA from 1 species
CGCGAUAUAGCGGCAGACGAGAGAGUAAUAACAAGGAACUUGCCCCCGAGUGAAGGAUAGCCACCCGAAAGGGUGGGUAACCCUGCAUAGUCCCCGACGCAAGUCGGGGUAAAGCCGUAAGGCGCUUGGGGAGAGGCCUUGUUCCUAUCAGCUAGUUGGUGAGGUAAUUGCUCACCAAGGCGAUGACGGGUAGCUGGACUGAGAGGUUGACCAGCCUCGAUGGGACUGAGACACGGCCCAUACUCCUACGGGAGGCAGCAGUUGGGAAUUUUGCACAAUGGACGCAAGUCUGAUGCAGCAACACUGCGUGAAGGAUGAAGGUUUUCGGAUCGUAAACUUCUUUUAUCUGGGAAUAAUCUUGAAGGUACCAGAUGAAUAAGCACCGGCUAACUACGUGCCAGCAGCCGCGGUAAUACGUAGGGUGCAAACGUUAUCCGGAUUUAUUGGGCGUAAAGAGCUCGUAGGUGGACUUUUAAGUUGAAUAUUAAAUACUCCGGCUCAACUGGAGGAAAGUAUCCAAAACUGGGAGUCUUGAGGUAUGUAGGGGAGAAUGGAACUUACGGUGUAGCAGUGAAAUGCGUAGAUAUCGUAAGGAACGCCAAUAGUGAAGACAGUUCUCUGGACAUUACCUGACACUGAGGAGCGAAAGCGUGGGGAGCGAACGGGAUUAGAUACCCCGGUAGUCCACGCUGUAAACGAUGCAUACUAGGAAUAUGGAGAAUCGACCCUCUGUGUUUCG